GACGAACGUUGGCGGCGUGCUUAACACAUGCAAGUCGAACGGAAAGGCCCUGCUUUUGUGGGGUGCUCGAGUGGCGAACGGGUGAGUAACACGUGAGUAACCUGCCCUUGACUUUGGGAUAACUUCAGGAAACUGGGGCUAAUACCGGAUAGGAGCUCCUGCUGCAUGGUGGGGGUUGGAAAGUUUCGGCGGUUGGGGAUGGACUCGCGGCUUAUCAGCUUGUUGGUGGGGUAGUGGCUUACCAAGGCUUUGACGGGUAGCCGGCCUGAGAGGGUGACCGGCCACAUUGGGACUGAGAUACGGCCCAGACUCCUACGGGAGGCAGCAGUGGGGAAUAUUGCACAAUGGGCGGAAGCCUGAUGCAGCGACGCCGCGUGCGGGAUGACAGCCUUCGGGUUGUAAACCGCUUUCGCCUGUGACGAAGCGUGAGUGACGGUAAUGGGUAAAGAAGCACCGGCUAACUACGUG
rnacentral:rRNA from 1 species